rnacentral:rRNA from 1 species
GGUGAACGCUGGCGGUAGGCCUAACACAUGCAAGUCGAACGGCAGCACAGGAGAGCUUGCUCUCUGGGUGGCGAGGGGCGGACGGGUGAGGAAUACAUCGGAAUCUACUCUGUCGUGGGGGAUAACGUAGGGAAACUUACGCUAAUACCGCAUACGACCUACGGGCGAAAGGAGGGGACAUUCGGGUCUUGCGCGAUUGAAUGAGCCGAUGUCGGAUUAGCUAGUUGGCGGGGUAAAGGUCCACCAAGGCGACGAUCCGUAGCUGGUCUGAGAGGAUGAUCAGCCACACUGGAACUGAGACACGGUCCAGACUCCUACGGGAGGCAACAGUGGGGAAUAUUGGACAAUGGCGCAAGCCUGAUCCAGCCAUACCGCGUGGGUGAAGAAGGCCUUCGGGUUGUAAAGCCCUUUUGUUGGGAAAGAAAUCCAGCUGGCUAAUACCCGGUUGGGAUGAAGGUACCCAAAGAAUAAGCACCGGCUAACUUCGUGCCAGCCGCCGCCGUAA